rnacentral:rRNA from 1 species
UACCGCGGUUAUACGAGAGGCCCCAGUUGAUACACACGGCGUAAAGAGUGGUUAUGGAACCCUUACACUAAAGCCGAAAACCCCCUAGACUGUCAUACGCACCCGGGAGUUAGAACCCCACUACACGAAAGUAGCUUUAUUAAUGCCCACCAGAACCCACGACAGCUGAGACA